rnacentral:lncRNA from 1 species
ACUUCUGCAGAGACACACACGGUGCAGGCCGCUGGCGGCUCCCUCUCAACAGGACUUGGGCUGAAGCCAAAAGGACAUUCACAUGUAAAUGAAUGCUGAUGAAUGGAAAUGAGAUGCUAUACAUGAUGGGCAACCUGCAACAUUCAGGUUAAAAAAGGCAAAGUUACCUCCCUCACUGAAGCUUGAAUCUCUUCCUUUCUACACUUGGGCACCAACAGAAAUGAAAGACAGUGACUGACCUUCUACCAGUUUCUAUUGGCUAAACACCACCCUCCAGAGACACUCGAGAUGGACAACACACGUUCUUUUGGUCUCAUGUUGCAUCUUGCUAUUACACAGCUACUUCUUUAAAUGAGUAUUUGAUUUGAAACUGAAAUUAUAAAUACUGGAAAUCUGACAGCUGCACUGAGCCAAAGGAUUAAAAUGCCCAAAAGAGUGUGAUUACUU